CAGACCCAAAUCAACUCGAAACAAGAAUAAGACUCACCCCCCAUUUCUUCUUUGACUGGCACGACAGAACCCUAAAUCCCCCGUCCCGUGGAGAGUAAGAGAGUGUAGCUCAUUCCAUAAGGGCGACUCCAGGUGCGACUGUUGCUUCCUCUGAUGACCAAAAAGGAUGUCGAACAAGUUGAUCCGUGAAGAUGAUGGAAGAAGAUGAUGAGGAUGACGAGAGAACUUAGGGUUCAGUGAGGGCAAAGAGAGGAAGAAUUGAAGGAUUUAGGAUUCUGCCGUACGAUCACAGAAGAAAUUGGAGGGGGAGUUUCUUAUUUUGGUUUUUGGUUUAUUUGGGUCGGGUCUUUUGAUCCGAUAUGAGGGAUUAGAGAUCUCAUGUGGCGGCCACAUGGGACAGCAGAUAGGUCAGUUACCCUCCCCGUCAACAAUUUGACGAAAAUAUGUAAUGGCUCUAUUACGUUAUGCCAUAUUUGGAACAUGGUGAAAAAGUUUGUACUUUUAUGUCAAAA